GAAUGCUUUGCUGCUUUGAAAUUUCUUCCACCAGAUACUCUAAAUAAUCUCUCUCAAGUUCAAAGUUUCACAGAUCCCUAGAGCAGGGGCACAAUGCCACCAGUCUCUUUGCUGAAGCAUAGCAAGAAUGACCUUUACUCCAGUUCCCAAUAAGUUCCUCAUCUCCCUCUAAGACCUCCUUGGCCUGGACUUCAUUGUCCAUAUCUCACUAUCAGUAUUUUGGUCAAAGCCAUUCAACAAGUCUCUAGGAAGUUCCAAACUUUCCCUUAUCUUCUUGUCUUCUUCUGAGCCUUCCAAACUGUUCCAACCUCUGCCCAUCCAAAGCUGCUUCCACAUUUUCAGGUAUCUUUUGUAGCAAUGCCCCACUUCUCUGAUACCAAUUUCCUAUAUUAGUCCAUUCUCACACUGCUAUAAAGAACUAUCUGAGACUGGGUAAUCUAUGAAGAAAAGAGGUUUAAUUGACUCACAAUUCUGCAGGCUGUACAGGAGGCAUGGCUGGGGAGGCCUCAGAAAACUUACAAUCAUGGCAGAAGGUGAAGGGGAAGCCAGCACAUCUUCAUAUGAUGGCAGCAGGAACUUUAUAUGUUAUAGAAGUUAGCCCCAAGAAUGAAAUCGUGUCCUUUGCCAAAACAUGGAUGGAGCUAGAGGCCUUUAUCCUAAGUGAGUUAACGCAGGAACAGAAAGCCAAAUAGUGCAUGUUCUCACUGAUAAGUGGGAGCUAAACUAUGGGUUCACAAAGGCAUGCAGAGUGGUACUGUGGACAUUGGAGACUCAGAAUGGGGGAGGCUAGGAGGGAGGUAAGGGAUGAAAAAGUACCUGUUGGGUACAAUGUACACUACUUGGGUGACGAUGGGUCCACUAAAAUCCCAGAUUUAACCACUGUACAAUUCAUCCAUGUAACCAAAACCCACCUGUACCCCAAUGCUAUGAAAAUAAAUAAAACCAAAUUAGCUCUGUUUCUGUUAGAUGAGAUGCAAAUAUUUUCCCAAGUUUGUCCUUUGUCUUUUGACUUUGUUUAUGGUGUUUCACUCAUGCAGAUGUUUUUUAUUUUCAUGUUUUUAACUUGUCAUUAUUUUCUUUCAUGUCUUCUGGAUUUUAAGUCAUGUUAUCAAGGCUUUCCCACUCUGAUAUUAUAAAUGAAUUUUUCCUCAUUUCUCUUAGAACUUUGAUUCUUUCACUUCCCACAUUUAACCUUCCACGUAUCCAGAAUUUCCCCUAGCAUAAGUUGAUACGGUCCCAAUGUUUCUUUUUUUUUUUUCCCAAAUGGCCACUCAUUUAUACCAACACCAUUUAUUGAAUCGUCUAUAGUCCCCACUGAUUUGAAAUGCCAGCUUUACAUACCAAAGUCCUGUAUGCAUUUGCCUCUGUUCUGUUUGGUAGGUCUAUUCAAGCUCCAGUUCCCAAAAGUGUUGAGUGUCGCUUAAAAUCUAGAAGGGCUGGUUUCUAGUUUUCCAUAAUUGCUCCUCUUUUCUAGUGUCCUCUGUCCUAUUAGGGCUUAUUGAUUUUUAAAUAUGAUUUGUGGAUUCAGUUUUCUUUAGUUCUAGUGAGCAACAAAAACAACCAAGAAAAAAAUAAAAAAAACCCUCCCUGUUUUCCUUUCUUUCUUUCUUUUUUUAAUCAAGAUCACCUUAAGUUUAAAAAUUAACGUAGGAUAACUUGACAUAUUUUAUGAUUUUUAUGUUACUCUCCAAAAAUAUAAUAAGUGGUUCUAUUUAUUCAACUCUACUCCUUUGUCCUGCAGGAACAUUUUGUUUCCUUAUCAAGUCUGAUAUUGUCUUUUGGUCUGAGAUAGACAUAUUUAAAAAAAUUGUGUUCAUUGAUUUCUAUCUUA
rnacentral:lncRNA from 1 species